ACGUAAGAAUCAUGCAGAAUGAAAAAAAAAGUGGCACAGCUAUAAAUUUAAAAUCUCUUGAAAAAUGGCUAAUUUUGAAGAAAAUCAUGUUUUGAACUUGAUCCAAUAAAAAAUUUCACCUUGAAUCCUUCUUAAGAUUUUUAAUCGGCUGAAAGGAUAUUCGGUUUCAAAAAUAUUUUCCCGUUGUUUUCUUUAUAAAGAGCACUAAUGAAAAUGGUCAUAAAAAUUAAUUAUCGGACACUCUGUCAUUAAAGAUUAAUAGAUACAUAAAGUCAAUAGUAUGGACAGUAAAAGAAAUAACAAACAUCAUUUGGAAACAUGUUUACAAAUUAGUUACAGAUUUUUAAAAACUACGUACGAUCUAGCAGAUUGACGAUUUUAUUAUCUCCCUUUGCUAACUCUUUAGUGUUAAAGAUACGAUUGUUUGGGGAAACAUGACAACAUGUCAUACGAGUUGGCGGUUUGAAUACAGACGAUGCCGUUUUGUAACAUUUCUUUAUGGACAAAUACUCCAUGUGAAGAAGUUUCAAAGACAAUUUAUGUGAAUGACUAUAAGAAAUCGGUAGCUAGAUAUUUAUGCUCCUUAAACAAAUCACAUUGCGGGAAAUUCAUGACACAAGGCCCGCCUGCGCCUGUGUCUAUUUUCACAAUCACACGUUGGAAUUUUUCGGUUGUUUCAUAUCAUCAGAGUUCUUUAGAGUGGAUGAGGAAUACUACAUGUGUUUUCCCAGAUCACUCGGUCAGUUGUAUUGGAUAUACGAACCGGAUAUCGGCACAUAUCAUUAACAUUUGGGAUGAGCAACAUGCUUGUGGAAAAAUGCUACGGCCAGUAUGGGUGGCGGUGCAGUAUACAAGGAAUCUAUUCACUGAAAUUCCAAGAAGAUUCCAUGACUUGCUUGCCAUACAACAAACAACAGAAUAUGGACGUGAUUCCUAGAAUUAGAACUUGAAUGGGUCAGACUUGAAUACAUGCAAAGUCAUGUAGCAAUAUUAAAGGUGUUGCACUUCAGGAAAAGGGGAAGCGUAUUUGUUGGAAGAUGGAUAAAGAAAAAUUGGAGCAUGCACUAGACUUCUUUAAAUCCUGCUUUUUUAUCAGGUAACAUCAUUGAGUACAAAAGAAAUGUACCUUCACAGCAGACAACUUAUAACCUUUCGACAAGAAAUUGGGACUGCCUGCCAUUCAACCAUUGUACAUAUAUGAAUUUACCAGUCCUGUUGUGAAGAAACUUAUUUCAUCAUCUUCCAAGGGCCAUGUUAUUUAGGAUUUUAACUACUUGUCAUGCAUCACAAGCUUAAAAAGACUUCACAAUCUGGCUGCAGAUGGAACUGCAUGGUUUGAAAUCCUCAUAGGAAUUCUGAGAAGCAUGGAGGCCUAUUAACCAGAUAAUGAGAUUGUUAUGAGAUUGAUCACUGUUCGUUAUCUUCACCUUGCAUAGCUUGAGGAGUACCAGGAAAAUUUACUUGCAGCAAAAUUGUACAUAAAGAGAGACUCACUCAAGCAUGAAUGUAGAAUAAUUAUAAAGAUACAGUAUAGAGAGAGAAAGAGAGAAUUAUAUGGUGAUAUAAUUAAACUCAUUGUCUUGAAUGGGUAUGGCAUGUCAGUAGAGAAUCAUGAUUCAUAUGGUGAUAUUUUUCAAUUAUAUACUCGUUUCAGUGCAAUGGCAUUGUACAAAUAAAUAUUUUAAGUGUUGUUAGGGAAAGUGGUUGCUAUGGUGAUAUGUGUAAACAUAUUGUCUUCCAUGGGUCUGACAUGUCAGUAAAUAAUUACAUGUUGAUAUAUUUGUAUUAUAUUCUCAUUUGAAGGCAAUUGGAAUUGUACAGUUUGAAAUGUUUGCUUGUUGCUAGGGAAAAUUGGUUGCUAUGGUGAUAUAGUUAAACCUGAUGUCUUCAUUGGAUUCAACAUAUCAGUAGAAAAUCAUAUAUUGGUAUAUUUGCAUUAGGUUCUCAUUCCAGUGCAAUUUAAUCAUACAACUUUAAAUUUUAUGUGCGUUGCUAAGGAAAAUCAGUUGCUAUGGUGAUAUGGUUGAAGUCUGAUUUCUCCAAUUGGUCUGAAAUGUCAAUAAAUUAAAGUGAACCCAGAUGAUUUGUAUUUAUUUUCAGUUAAUGGAAUCAUUUUAAUGCAUAUAUUGCAGAUAUUCUUGUUUUAUUGUGUUGGAAAUGGGCCUGAAAGAGUUGCCUAGCAACCGUUACUAUGUGCAUUUCCGACUCUUUUGAUUUUUAUUUUGUGUACACUUAGUAUUGAUUGUUUAGAAAAUAUGUAUCAAAAUUUGGCACUUUUCAGAUAACUAAAGUAAUAUGUAUUUAAAAUACCCUAAAAUUGUCGAAUUUACAGAAAAUUGAUAAAUAUUAAAACAAUGCCUAUUCCAAAGUCCUCUACAGAUACCAUAUAAUAGUAUUUCAUUAGUAUUGUACAUUUUUAUAUUGAAGUAACCUUUACCUCGCCUAAAUAAAUUAUCAUUAUGUUUGAAAAA